rnacentral:rRNA from 1 species
UGUACACGCUGUGACUAGCAUAUCAAUAAGCGGAGGAAAAGAAACUAACAAGGAUUCCCCUAGUAACGGCGAGUGAAGCGGGAAGAGCUCAAAUUUGAAAUCUUAAAGGGUUUCCCUUUACGAAUUGUAGUUUAAAGAAGUGUUUUCUGUUGAGGUUUUGGUAAAGGUUCUUUGGAAUAGGACAUCAUAGAGGGUGAGAAUCCCGUAUUUGACCUUUACUUUCAACUUUGUGAUACACUUUCAAAGAGUCGGAUUGUUUGGGAAUGCAGUCCAAAAUGGGUGGUAAAUUUCAUCUAAAGCUAAAUAUUGGCGAGAGACCGAUAGCGAACAAGUACCGUGAGGGAAAGAUGAAAAGAACUUUGAAAAGAGAGUUAAACAGUACGUGAAAUUGUCAAAAGGGAAGCGUUUGACACCAGUGUUGUUUUUCUGAAAAUCAAUUAAAGAACUGUUUAUGCUAAGCUGUUUAGACUUUAUCAGCUAUCUGUUUAGUUUUGAGCUUUUCUUUAAUGCACUUUUCAGUUAACAAGUCAACAUCAAUUUCUUUUGCUGUAAAAAAGCUUGAGGAAGGUGGCUUGAGAUUCGUCUUAAGUGUUUAUAGCCUCUUGCCUAUGCAGUCGGAGAGAUUGAGGUCUGCAGCGUAGAUCCUUCGGGGCUAAAUGCAUUUGUGCUAAGUUAUAGCAUUUUAUAGACAACUUGUUGACUAUGAUUUGUCUUGUAGCUUACUCGCUUAUGUUAUUUUACCUACGCUUAGGAUGUUGAAGAUGUAGCACAUCAU